GCCUACCAAGGCGACGAUCAGUAGGGGUUCUGAGAGGAUUAUCCCCCACACUGGUACUGAGACACGGACCAGACUCCUACGGGAGGCAGCAGUGAGGAAUAUUGGUCAAUGGGCGCAAGCCUGAACCAGCCAUCCCGCGUGAAGGAUGAAUGCCUUAUGGGUUGUAAACUUCUUUUGUACCUGAAGAAACUCUGGGUCGUGACCUGGACUGCCGGUAGGGUACGAAUAAGCAUCGGCUAACUCCGUGCCAGCAGCCGCGGUAAUACGGAGGAUGCAAGCGUUAUCCGGAUUUAUUGGGUUUAAAGGGUGCGCAGGUGGUUGAAUAAGUCAGUGGUGAAAGUCUGCCGCUUAACGGUAGGAUUGCCAUUGAUACUGUUUGACUUGAGUUUAGGUGAGGUAGGCGGAAUGUGUAGUGUAGCGGUGGAAUGCAUAGAUAUUACACAGAACACCGAUUGCGAAGGCAGCUUACUAAUCUACAACUGACACUGAGGCACGAAAGCGUGGGGAUCAAACAGGAUUAGAUACCCUGGUAGUCCACGCUGUAAACGAUGAUCACUCGCUGUUUGCGAUAUACAGUAAGCGGCUAAGCGAAAGCGAUAAGUGAUCCACCUGGGGAGUACGAUCGCAAGGUUGAAACUCAAAGGAAUUGACUGGGGCCCGCACAAGCGGAGGAACAUGUGGUUUAAUUCGAUGAUACGCGAGGAACCUUACCUGGGCUUAAGUGGGGAGUGACAGCUGGCGAAAGUUGGUUUUCUUCGGACACUCUUCAAGGUGCUGCAUGGUUGUCGUCAGCUCGUGCCGUG
rnacentral:rRNA from 1 species